rnacentral:rRNA from 1 species
UACGUAGGGGGCUAGCGUUGUCCGGAAUUAUUGGGCGUAAAGAGCGCGUAGGCGGCUCGGUAAGCCGGAUGUGAAACCUCCAAGCUCAACUUGGAGCGGCCAUUCGGAACUGCCGUGGCUAGAGUCUGGUAGGGGAACACGGAAUUCCUGGUGUAGCGGUGAAAUGCUUAGAUAUCAGGAGGAACACCAGUGGCGAAGGCGGUGUUCUGGGCCAGUACUGACGCUGAGGCGCGAAAGCGUGGGGAGCGAACAGG